rnacentral:rRNA from 1 species
GUGAGGAAUUUUGCGCAAUGGGGGAAACCCUGACGCAGCGACGCCGCGUGGAGGAUGAAGGCCUUCGGGUCGUAAACUCCUGUCAGAGGUGAAGAAACCCCGCAAGGGUUUGACGGUAACCUCAGAGGAAGCCCCGGCUAACUACGUGCCAGCAGCCGCGGUAAUACGUAGGGGGCAAACGUUACUCGGAAUUACUGGGCGUAAAGGGUGCGUAGGCGGCUGAGAUAGUCAAGGAUGAAAUCCCGUGGCUUAACUGCGGAACGGUCCUUGAAACUUCUCAGCUUGAGGAUAACCGAAGAGAACGGAAUUCCCGGUGGAGCGGUGAAAUGCGUAGAUAUCGGGAGGAACACCUGAGGCGAAAGCGGUUCUCUAGACUACUCCUGACGCUGAGGCACGAAAGCUAGGGGAGCAAACGGGAUUAGAAACCCUUGUAGUCC